rnacentral:rRNA from 1 species
UACGGAGGGGGCGAGCGUUAUUCGGAAUUAUUGGGCGUAAAGGGCGCGUAGGCGGCUUGGUAAGUCAAAGGUGAAAUCCCUCGGCUCAACUGAGGAACUGCCUUUGAAACUGUCUGGCUUGAGGCCGGGAGGGGGUAGCGGAAUUCCCAGUGUAGCGGUGAAAUGCGUAGAUAUUGGGAGGAACACCAGUGGCGAAGGCGGCUACCUGGACCGGUUCUGACGCUGAUGCGCGAAAGCGUGGGUAGCAAACAGGAUUAGAAACCCCCGUAGUCC